ACAUGCCUACAACAUAGUGUUAAUGCAUCGUAUCCCAUUAGAACUUCGUAGUUAAGUGCGCUUGGGAUAAAGUAGUAAUGGUAUGGGUGACCGCCCGGGAAGUCCUAGUAUUUUACAUGCC
rnacentral:rRNA from 1 species